rnacentral:rRNA from 1 species
CUACGGGAGGCAGCAGUGAGGAAUAUUGCACAAUGAGGGGAACCCUGAUGCAGCAACGCCGCGUGGAGGAUGACGCAUUUCGGUGUGUAAACUCCUUUUAUAUGUCAAGAAAAUGACGGUAGCAUAUGAAUAAGCACCGGCUAACUCCGUGCCAGCAGCCGCGGUAAUACGGAGGGUGCAAGCGUUACUCGGAAUCACUGGGCGUAAAGGACGCGUAGGCGGGUUGGAAAGUCAGGUGUGAAAUCCUACAGCUUAACUGUAGAACUGCACUUGAAACUUCUAAUCUAGAGUAUGGGAGGGGGAGAUGGAAUUAGUGGUGUAGGGGUAACAUCCGUAGAUAUCACUAGGAAUACCUAAAGCGAAGGCGAUCUCCUGGAACAUUACUGACGCUAAGGCGUGAAAGCGUGGGGAGCAAACAGGAUUAGAUACCCCUGUAGUC